UCCACACAUGAAUUAUCACAGAAAAACGAAGAUUUUUCAUAGUUCCAUUUUUAUUUUUUUUGUACUUCUACGUCGUCAAGUAUGUUGGUGGUUAGAACACUUUCGUGCCCAUUCACCAUGACCGGUUAUUGGUUACUUGAAAAGUAUCAGUACUCUUUUAUUAUCGUUUUCUUUUUGUUUACAGUAUAUGUGUGUUUACAGAAUGUAGUGAUAUGAAUGGAAUACACGAGAAAUCAAAACAAAAAAAAAAUCAAAACUAAAGGAAAAAAUAAAGAACUGUAAGCAAAUAUGAUGAUUAUUUACAAAUAAAAGUCAAACUUCAAUUUUGCAAAGUGCAAUAAAGUUGAUUAAUUCAUCUAUAUUUUGUUGGUUUUUGGACAUCAGGAUUUCCGGUUUCACAAAGAUUUGAGUCAGCAAUUCCAAUCCUGUGGAAAUAUUUUUUGGUGUAAGUAUGACCAGUGAGCAAUCGAUUAACAAUCUUUAUGUUUUCAGGUUUCAUAUUUGAUGAAAAGAACCAGGACUGUUUAGCAGGCGCCGGGAAGAAUUUGUAGAAGUAAGUUCCUUUAGUCCGUGAGAUGUCCUUGUAAUUUUCUAUAAACUCAUUCCACAGGAGUGACUCAAUGCGUUUCGACGCAUCUGUGACCGACAGACAGAAGUUGAUUGGUGAACCAACAUUUGCUGCAUGCUUCGCAAAAUAAUCGGCUGUUUCAUUGAUUGGUAUACCGACAUGGGAAGGUGUCCAAACAAACGAGAUUUUAUUUAAAUGCGAAUUAACUAUUUUGUUUAGAAUAUUGUACACAGUGAAAUUGUGAGAUGUGUUGUUUUUAAGCAGAAGACAAGCAUUUUUGCUGUCUGUAAAUAAAGCAGCUGUGCUGACACCGUCUUCGAUCAUCAAA